UAAUAAUAUCCUCCGGUUUAUAUUGCUAUUUGAUUCUAUUUAUUGCCGCAGAAAACCGUCCGAUAACAGUAUUUUCCGAGAUGAAUACAUAAAAAUACAUAGGAAACAAUAUUAGUGCAAAUAGAAAAUUAAACGAGAUGAAUGAGACGACGUAUAAAAAUAUAAUUGAAAUAAUGAAUCACAACGUUCAAUAUUAAGUAAUACCAGUGGCGUAACCCGAGGGGUUUUAGGUGUUAACGCCUCAUUGUUUUUGUUUUAGGUAUAGGUGAAGUUAAGAAGGUUGUAAGUCUAUAAGUACAAUCUCAACACAAUUUAGACUUGUCAUAUAAGUAUGAAUAAUAGCAAACGUAUUAUUCGGAGGUUGAUCGUACUAUGGAAUAAUUAUAGGUAA